UACAGAGGGGGCAAGCGUUGUCCGGAUUGACUGGGCGUAAAGCGCACGUAGGUGGUGGGGCAAGACGCGUGUGAAAGCCCACGGCUUAACCGUGGCAGGCCAUGCGUGACUGCUCGACUCGAGCUUGGCAGAGGUGGGUGGAAUUGCCGGUGUAGUGGUGAAAUGCGUAGAGAUCGGCAGGAACACCAAGGGGGAACCCAGCCCACUGGGCCAGUGCUGACACUGAGGUGCGACAGCGUGGGGAGCGAACAGG
rnacentral:rRNA from 1 species